rnacentral:rRNA from 1 species
UGGGCAACCUGCCCCUCUCUCUGGGAUAACCCCGGGAAACCGGAGCUAAUACCGGAUACUCCGGCUGGAUCGCAUGGUCCGGCCGGGAAGGGUCCGCCGGAGAGGGAUGGGCCCGCGGCCUAUCAGCUUGUUGGUGGGGUCAUGGCUCACCAAGGCGACGACGGGUAGCUGGUCUGAGAGGGCGACCAGCACACUGGAACUGAGAUACGGUCCAGACUCCGUACGGGAGCA